AAUUAUUUCAAAUCCUAAUUAUUUCAUCUGACCAGACAAUUAAAGAAGAUUGGAUGCUUUCAUUUUGGCAUUUGAAUUCUACUGUUGCAGCACCUUGGUUAUCUGUCCCAUUACAAGAAGUUUUGAAUCCCAGAGGCGGAAUGAUGUCUACUGCAGGAUAUCAGACCCUCAAGCUGGGGAGUGUUAGAAAAGAGCUUGGGGAGAAUGCAGCUAUUUCCAUUACCACUUUUGAAAUCUCCUCAAUGAUGCCUUCACUCAGCACUUGAGGAAGAGUCUCAUUUUAACUGAGAUGUUUCCAUGUUC